CAAUGCUAUUGGUACACCCACCCCCAGCCGUGACAUACCUGUGACGUGUGUGUAUAUGUGUGUGACGCUAACCUCUUGCUGUGUGUGUGUGUGUGUGUGUGUGUGUGUGGCCAGUGGGGAGACGCCACGUCACGGGUUGGCAGGCAGGAAACAAGAGUGGAUCAGUUUUGGCCUGGCUGUGAAGGUGAGCGGGUGGAGUGUCAGUACUGUUACUGGAUUUGUAUUAAUAUUACGUUUGCAAGACAAUUGAGCGGCAUAGUUUGUGUUGACACGGCUUAUUACCGCAGUCUGCACAGCGUCUGCAGUGUGGCAAGCCUUAUAAGUACAGUGUGUGUGUACUGACGUACCUUGUGUCCGCGCUUCCUCCGCCCCCCUGUCAGAUAUGGAGGGGUUGGGGAAAGGAUGCCGUGUCCCUGAGUCUGCCCCUGACUGGCCAGCUGACGCCCAUUGAUAUCUCCAUGGCCGUGGUGAGGCAGGAGAGGACUCAAGGAUGGAGAGCUUAGGAUACCACACAGAGGAGGGUGAAGGAGCCUUGGGGAAGCCUGAAGGAGGGGCAGUGAAGGAGGGAGGCCUGGAGGUGAAGGAAAUGCAGAAAAUUCCUCUAAUAGUGAGCGCUUCGCUGGUCAGACCAUCCCUCACUGAAUAUUUGGACCGAGGCUUCGAGAUACGAGAUGAGAAUCCGUUUUUUAGUGGUUUAAGCCAGUUUUAUGUGUUUUUGGGUGUUUGUAGAUUGUUUUUAUCUUGUUUUGAGUAUUUUUUUUUUGGUUUGUGAAAGGAGGGAGAAAGCUUAAAUACAGUAAUAAUACCGAAAAAAAGGCUUAAAUUGAGAGUUUUAAAGUUAUCUUAGCGUAUAUUAAGCUGUUUUAAAUGUUUUAAGUUACCAGAAGAGAGGAAGCUUAAAUUUAAUAUUAGGAUAAGGAAAAAGCUUAUUUCUUGCAUUAGGAAGAAAGAAAAGCUUAAUAUUGCCACCUCAUCCCCCCAGCCCCCAGUGAGCCAGGUGACCCCCUAGAACAACGCCAUCCUGCCUAUUUGUGGUGUGGCAGCCCAGAUCGUCCCCCUCCCUCCCUCAUCCUCCUCCUCCUCUAGCAAAGAAGAGACGUUUAAUCAGCUAGUGGACAGGUUGUUGUUGUUGUUGUUAUUGUUGUUGUGGGGGUGGCGGUGGUAGUAGUGGCGGCGGUGGUUGUUCGUCUCUCGCUCUCUCUCUCUCUC